UCCCGAGUUUUCUCUCUCAAUUCAUACCCAUUCUCUAUUCUAUAUCUCUACCUCGCGUCCCUUAAUUUUUCUCUGUCUUGCUGAAACCCAAACCACCAAAACUGUGAGACCUAGCCCCAAUGCCUGCAAUUUCUUUUAUUCUCGGCUUCAUAUGCGUCCCGAGUUAUCUCUCUCAACUCAGACCCAUUCUCUAUUCUUUCACUCUACCUUGUAACCCUCAACUUCUCUUUGUGUUGCUGAAACCUAAACUACCGAAACUGUGAAACCCAGCCCCAGAUUUUGAUUUGUUCAAUCUGUGGGAAUUUUGAAGUCUUUGGGCUUUUUGAGCUAUUAAUUUCUUUGGUUUCAGGUUGAUAAUGACAAUGCCUUGGAGAAAACGACUACAACUGUGGUUGAGAAUUCUAAGGAAUCUUGUAGGCUUGCGACAUUGGAAAAUGCUUUGACCUUCGGUGACAUCGUCAGCCCUGGGAAGAGCGAGGAGGCCCUUGUUGCGGCAACGAUCGGUCAGGGUGUACAUUUCUCUCUCUCUGUGAAGAUUUUUUCUCUAUUUGUGUAUUUUGAAUUGUGAUUUUUAUUAAAUAUUAAAAAAUUUAGAAUUUUGAGAUUUGCUUUUGGUUUUGAAGGGGCUACGUCAGCUGUAAUGGUGGAUAAGCAGAAGGGUUUGUUCUCUUCGUGGAGUGUAUACCAGAAGCGUAACAACCCGGCGACGACCUUCGACCUCGAUACUGUGGUGAAUGCUUCUAUCACAGUCUGCUCAGAAUCGAAAUGUUCCCAUCAACACAAAGACCUUUGUGAUUGGUUCAAGUAGAAACUGCUAUUUUCCUUUGGACGAUCAGAGUGUUAACAGGCAUCUAUAGAAUCAAGCACACAACAGGAUGUCUACAAAUGUGACGCGAAGAAAACCCUCAGUCGAUCUCCAUUGCAAUAGAUCGCCAUCACUAGUUGCAUAUAUGGGCUAACCUAGAGAAAUUAUGUUAAGGAAUGAAGUCGCCUUUGACUUCUGGUGGAGCUUGACUGGUACAUAUUCUAUGUGUUCAAUUGAAAUUAAAAAUAUGGGCCUACUCUACAACAGAAACCGACAUUUCAAUGGAGCAGAGGCUGAAGAGAAUGCACACGAUGCUGAAAUUGAAAGGAGAAUUGAGGAAGAAACAAAAGUUGAAAAGCACAUCCAGAAACUUCUAUUACUUGCUUCCAUGGAAGAGAAAAGAAGAAGACCAUGAAGAGAUGUGGAAGUUUGGACUCUCAUUAGACUAGAAAAGAAGUGAGAGCAGCAAAGGAAAUUGAGUGUUAACUAGACAAAAGACGUUGCUUUUGUGCAAUUUUAAAGCAAAAAAAGAGUUACUUAUAAGAGAAAGGAAACUGAGUUUAUAAUUUUAAUUGUUGAGAAGUUUAUGUGGUUUGUUCACUACAAUUAGAACAUUGUAUUCCCUCCCCCCCCCCCCCCCC